rnacentral:rRNA from 1 species
AUGUCUUACACCCAUGAUUUGGAGGCUGCUAAACUGGAGAUUCAAGGGAAGACACAGGAGCUCAGUUACGCACAGUCUCGUUGUCAUGAACUUGAAUCACAGUUACUUCAGGAAAGGGAGAAGGUCGAGUCUCUAGAAGCCGAAUUAGCCAAAGAAAAACAGAGCUUAGAACAUAGAACUGAAGAAGUAGGCUUUCUUCAGAAGGAGCUUGUUCAGAAAGAAAAUGAGUGCACCAAAUCACAAGAACUUGUUAAAGUAAAAGAGUUUGAGCUGUUAGAAGCCAGACAGGAAGUCCAAGACAUGAAGUUAAAGGUAGAGUCUAUUCAAUUGGCUGUUCAAGAAAAGGAUUCAGAGCUUUCUGAUACACAGAGCAGACUAACUGAAGUCAGCAGUGAAAUUGCUGAGCUUCAGCAGUUGCUAAAUAGCAAGAAGGAUCAACUGCUUCAGGCUAGAACUGAAUUACAUGAUAAAGAGCAACAUAUAGAAACACUGGAGAGUGAGUUGGAUAGCAUACGGCUCAGAUGCUCGCAAGCUGAAUCCAUGGUUCAAAGGAUGGCUGAUCUCACUGGCGAUCUUGCUAGUUCCGUAAAAGCCGGAGAAAUGGACAUCUAUGCAUUACUGGAUGAUGAAAUUUCAAGCACAGGUACAGCCCUCGAGUCCAAUUUGCAUAAGCAUAAUCAACUGGAGGCUGACAUAGAGAUGUUAAGAGAAUGCUUGCGGCAUAAGGACAUGGAGUUGAGAGCUGCUCAUGAAGCACUUGAUGCCAAAGAUCAAGAGCUGAAGGCAGUACUUAGAAAGUGGGAUGUGAAGGAGCGGGAAGUACGUGAGUUAGAAGAGUUACCGGAUCCCAGUGCCACAAAUGAACUUGCUGGUUUUUCCAGUGAGACAACAGAGGACGGCAUUGUAGGAGAGAUGGAGCUCCCAGAGCUUCAAAUUGAAGCUGUGGAGGUCGAAGCACUUGCUGCUACGACUGCAUUGAGGAAGCUUGCGGAUAUGACUAAGGAUUUCUUCAAACACGGCAAAGCUGAUUCUGGUAUUGACUUGGUUGCAUCAGAGAGUCAGAAAAUCAGUAAAUGUGAUCCUAAAAUGGAAGUACACAAGAAGACGGAUGUGAUUCUUGAAGCUGAAAAAGAAAUAGUUAGGCUCUUCUCAUUGACAAAACAGAUUGUCACUGAUGACAUAAUAAACGAUGUUGAGGAAUGA